CCUACGGGAGGCAGCAGUGGGGAAUAUUGCACAAUGGGGGAAACCCUGAUGCAGCGACGCCGCGUGAGUGAAGAAGGAAUUCGUUAUGUAAAGCUCUAUCAGUAGGGAAGAAAAUGACGGUACCUGAGUAAGAAGCCCCGGCUAACUACGUGCCAGCAGCCGCGGUUAUACGUAGGGGGCAAGCGUUAUCCGGAUUUACUGGGUGUAAAGGGAGCGUAGACGGGAGGGCAAGUCUGGAGUGAAAGGCGGGGGCUCAACCCCCGGACUGCACUGGAAACUGUACGGCUGGAGUGCAGGAGAGGUAAGCGGAAUGCCUAGUGUAGCGGUGAAAUGCGUAGAUAUUAGGAGGAACACCAGUGGCGAAGGCGGCAUACUGGACUGUAACUGACGCUGAGGCUCGAAAGCGUGGGGAGCAAACAGGAUUAGAUACCCCAGUAGUC
rnacentral:rRNA from 1 species